UCGACUUCAAGAACUAAUUGUUCACUUGCUGCCAUAUAUUUCCCACCCCUUGAUGUCAUUGUGACGAAAUAAUCAAUGCUCCCUUCACCUGUCAGUGGUUUUAAUGCUAUACAUAUCAAGCUUCAGUUAAUGUGCAUAUAAAGUUAGCAUUUUUCAACAAAAAAAUGCAAAGAGAACACAUGUAUUUCAAAACCAUAACAUGUAAAAGGUGAUGGAUUGGCAUCCUGUCCAGGGUGUAUCCUGCCUGGUGCCCGAUGCUUCCUGGGAUAGGCUCCAGGUUCCCCCUUGACCCUGAAGAGGAUAAGCAGUAUAGAAGAUGGAUGGAACAUGUAGAAGUGACUAUAAGCUCCACAUUUGUGUUCAGCUACAUCCCAUCAUAUACCUGUAACCCCACACUGAUUUUUUUACACAGGUUGAUUCAGGUUAAAGCUGUAGCUGUGUUUGUUUUGUUCUGUUCACUGUCACUGCAGAUGAUGAUGCUGGACCCAGCGAUGUGAUUUACACUGAGCUUGAAAUCAAGCCACAGAAAAAUCAAAGAAAAAUCAAGUGAAGGUCAGUGUAGAGUAUGGAACUGUUUACUCACAGCUGAAGCAGAGCACAUAGGUGCUGGAGGAGUGAAUACACAACUGAACAGACGAGAGAGAGAGAAGUUCAUCAUGUGUGCAGUGACAGUAAAAUUGGAGUGAGAUUGUUUUGUACAGGUUCUUUGCACUUAUUUGGUUUAAAAUGUGUGUGGGGGGGAUUAAGAACGUGUGUAUGGACAGCAUUAAGAAGUAUUUACAGGGUGUAUUUUAUUGAUUGCUUGUGCCACUAUUAGGACUGGUUGUAAAGCAAAAGGAUUUAGUAGUAAUAGUAAGAGUAAUAAGUCAAUGUGACUGAACUUUUAUUCUUGAAAAUGUUUUUUCACUCAUGUGAGGGGCUUCAUCAUGUCAUCUGUGUGCAGUUCACACCUACAGAACUGAAAGUCGUUACGAUCACAUACAGAGAUACACUGAUGUAUUUUCCACCACACGGUACAACCACAAUCUGCAGCCUACAGUUAAAAAGAUCAUGUAUCAUUUCAUCAUAACAAAUAUCAUUUCAUGGUUUCAUUGUAUUAAGCAACACUUUAAAUAAAUGCAUGCAGAUAUCACAAACCACAACAAGAUGAAUAUCUAUCACAAGCCCUAAACUGUGUGCACCAAAUGUGUCUGUAAUGUCACACGUCUUCCAGAAACUAUUAUUUUAAUGUAUUUUUAUUGCACUGUAACAAGCCUGUUAGAAAAGUCAUGUGCAUAGAGUGUACAGUUUUAUCUCCAGCAAACGUUUGUACUCAUCUCCAUCCAUGUGGACAUAAGCAGUAUCAGUAUAUGUAAAGUUAGAGGUGCUCAGUACAGUGCAAUCUCUCAAUUUAUUUACUUGGUAUUUGAAUGUAUUUUUUUUUCUUUGGUUUAAAUUUGUAAGCAUUUCAGCAAUUACAGUUGUACUUUUAGGUCACACAAAUGAUACCCUGCAUUAAAAUAUACAUGUAUACAAAGCAGCUGUAUUUUAUUAAGGGGCGUUAUUCACUGAUUAACCUCCAGUUGCUUUACAAGUGAUGACGUCCUAUGAAACAAUGCAUAAAUUCAUUCUCAUGCAUCAUUAUUGUUGUACUCUACAAGAAAAAUACCUGCAUUGCAGUAGAAAUCAUCAGCUCUGUUUCUCAUUAAUAUUAUGUUUAAAAAGUGGCUAAAGCUAAACAGAGCGCAUGAAAAAUUUCAGAUGAGGAAAUAUUUUAUCAAUCCUGCAUCACACAGACUGUGAAUAAAGUCUACUGUAAGAUAUUGCAAAUUUAAAGACAAAACAAUCAAACAACACCAAAAAAAAAAAAACACGUGUUUUCUGUAUAAAGGGGUCAUUU